GACGAACCGUACGAACGUUAUUCGGAAUCACUGGGCUUAAAGGGUGCGUAGGCGGCGCGACAAGUUGGGUGUGAAAUCCCUCGGCUCAACCGAGGAACUGCGCCCAAAACUGUCGUGCUCGAGGGAGACAGAGGUGAGCGGAACUUAGGGUGGAGCGGUGAAAUGCGUUGAUAUCGUUUGGAACGCCAAAGGUGAAAACAGCUCGCUGGGGGUCUGCUGACGCUGAGACACGAAAGCCAGGGGAGCGAACGGG
rnacentral:rRNA from 1 species